rnacentral:lncRNA from 1 species
GUCUUCUAAACUUUGCACUUUAUUUCAGGGAGAGAAUUUAGAAUAUCCAGGCGAUGUGCUGCAGCUUUAGCAUAUGAAAAAGCCCUGCUGGGAAGUGUAGUUUUAUUGAUUUUGUUAUUAAAGUGCCACUGGAAUAAAUUAGCUCAUUUGACUGAAAUGUCUCAUUACCUGGACUGUAACAGGCACAUGAUGAAGUCUCCAGAGCUGCCUGCUGCUGGGACCCACAGCCACCAUCCUGCACCCUGCUCUGGGCACCUGGAGACCCCCAGCACUGCCCGAGCCCACCAGGAAACAGCCCAGAAACCUCAGAAAUGAUCCAGCUCACAAAGCAAGGAAGAUAAAAAAGUGGCGGUGGAUAGCGCAGUGCCAGCAUUAAAAAAAAGGAUAACUGGAGUCAAUUAAAAAGCUCUUUCAGACCAGCAGCGUUAAUAGCUGCCCAGGAACACGGGAACCCCUCCACCCCUCCGCCGGCUGCUGAGCUGCUGACUGAGUCGUCGUCAUCCCAGCAGAGAGCUCAGGCAGAGGAGUGUGCACACCCCGUGUGGGUCAGAGCACGGCCCACGGUGGUGCUGGGCACAGCUCCUCCCGAGGGCUGAUCUCCAGGGAGCACCACCGGGUUCCUCCAUUGGGCGCCGUGGCACACGGAGCUGCAGGCACCUCUGAUUUCCAGACGAGCCUGAAAGCCACAUUCCCUUGGACGUGCCUGAGGAUGCUUGCAAGUCUGACUGCCUGCUGCCAUGUGCCCAAAUCCUCCGUGAGAGUCAUUGCAGAAUUAUAUCUGACACCAGAGUCCAUCAGACAAAGUCCUUACAAACACAGGAGUCCUGAAGACAUCGGCUGAAUGUUUUCCUGGUAUAAAGAAGAAGAGGAGGAGAAAGAGGUGGUGACGGUGUGGGUGCAGAGAGUUUGGACCGGGGCGGAGGGCGUGGUGGAAGGAGAGAGGUCGGUAUGUUUGUACCAAUGUUUUUAAAUUAUUUUUAUUUGUUCAUAUGUUCUCUUUAAAAAAAAAAAAAAACAAAAAACAAAAAACCAAAACU